GAGUUUAUCCACCAAUGCUAUGAAAUCUAACAGAUGACAUAUCGCAACCUCGGAUCGAGAACCAGAUUUUGCGGCUGACAUUUGACAGACGGGAGACUGGAAGGGGAGCGGAAGGGAGCGACACAGUGCCUCCGCGAAAGAGCGCUGGAUCACGGCUGGGAGUCCACAGACCGUCGGUGGGGCACGGCCCGUGCCGAUCUGUCGUCCAUGAUCAGACGUCGGGAAAUAAACAUGUAGCUAGCUACUGCUACUUGGUUAUAGUACAUACAAUUCAUCCUAAAUAAGAACACGGGAAAGCGGGUUUAACGUGUCGAUUACGGUACGGUGUUCCACGUUAUUUUGACGGUGUCCAGCCUCCCUUCAUCACCUCCACCACCACCUCAGGCCUGCAGUCUCCCUCUCUCCCCCCUCUCACCCCAUUCUGUCCCCCGUGGAAGAGGACAACACCCUACCCCAGACCACCCUAGUUCCAACUAGACUACAAUCCAACAUCCUUCCACUCCACCCCUCCCCAAACAGACGAGGGGGAGAGAGGAGCUUCGCCCCCCCCCCUCAUCCCCUCCCUCCCUCUCUCUCCCCCCUCCCAACAUGCAGCCUCAGGGCCUGUAUGUAAGAGCCAUGGUACAGCCCAUCCCUAGAUUGAAAUCUUGAACCACUCCAGUUGUACUCCACUGAGUAAUGAAGUGAAGCUAAAUGUUCUGAUGUGAAACUGGGCUGGACCAGCGCUGAACGGACAGGAGAGAACAGGAUGUGACCUCAGCAUCAGCCCACCUCACUUCCUGUUCAUCUCAACUAAUAGGAAGACUGGAUCACAGGCCUCAAAUUCCACAAUCACCCAAAUCAAACUUUAUUUAUAAAAGCCUUUUUACAGCAACAUUUCUCACAAAGUGCUUUACAGUAGUCACCUUAGUAAACCUCUUUCUGACUUCCAGAGAGCAGGCAGCAGCACAGUGGCAAGGGAAACCCUCCUUACAAGUGGAGAUGUGUUAGCUAACCUCUGACCUCUGACCUGUGUCUGGGCUUGGCUGCUUGUUGGAUCCAGGCUGUAGAAUCUAGUGGUUUCUACUGACCGUAGCUAGGGCGUCAGCUUCUAGAGUGUUCUAUUAGGUUCUAGUACGUUCUAAUAAGGUUCUAGUAUGUUCUGUUAUGUUCUAUUAGAUUAUAAUAUGUUCUCUUAGGUUCUAG
rnacentral:lncRNA from 1 species